ACCUGGUUGAUCUUGCCAGUAGUCAUAUGCUUGUCUCACAGAUUAAGCCAUGCAAGUGAAAGUACAUAUGUAAAUAAUAUAUUGAAACUGCGAACGGCUCAUUAAAACAGUUAUAAUCUACUUGAUGUUUUUAAUAUAAGGAUAACUACGGAAAAUCUGUAGCUAAUACUUGUGAAAAUACCUUUUGAUAUAUACAUAUGUAUGUAUCAUUAAGGUAUGUAUUUGUUAGAUAUAAGAAUAAAAUAAAUAUAAUUGAAUUAUAACAAAGAAGAAACACAUAAAAUAUGUGUAUUAUCAAUCGAGUAUCUGACCUAUCAGCUUUUGAUGUUAGGGUAUUGACCUAACAUGGCUAUGACGGGUAACGGGGAAUUAGAGUUCGAUUCCGGAGAGGGAGCCUGAGAAAUAGCUACCACAUCUAAGGAAGGCAGCAGGCGCGUAAAUUACCCAAUUCUAAAAAAGAGAGGUAGUGACAAGAAAUAACAAUACAAUAUCGAAAAAUGAUUUUGUAAUUGGAAUGAUAGGAAUUUACAAGGUUCCUAGAGAAACAAUUGGAGGGCAAGUCUGGUGCCAGCAGCCGCGGUAAUUCCAGCUCCAAUAGCAUAUAUUAAAAUUGUUGCAGUUAAAACGUUCGUAGUUGAAUAUUAAAGAAUCCGAUGUUUCAUUUAAACUGGUUUGGGAAAACCAAAUAUAUUAUAUAUUUUGCUUUGUUCAAAAUAAGGUUUUCUAAUAAAUUAUGUUUUUAUCAGAUAUGACAGAAUCUUUUUUAAAAUCUCUUCAAUAUGCUUUUAUUGCUUUUGAGAGGUUUUGUUACUUUGAGUAAAAUUAAGUGUUCAUAACAGACGGGUAGUCAUGAUUGAGUUCAUUGUGUUUGAAUACUACAGCAUGGAAUAACAAAUAUGAAUAAGCUAAUUAUUUUUUUUUUUCAUUAUUUUUUUUGAUAUUCUUAUUAGCUUAGUUACGAUUAAUAGGAGUAGCUUUGGGGGCAUUCGUAUUCAGAUGUCAGAGGUGAAAUUCUAAGAUUUUCUGGAGACGGACUACUGCGAAAGCAUUUGCCUAAUCUAUUUCCAUUAAUCAAGAACGAAAGUUAAGGGAGUGAAGACGAUCAGAUACCGUCGUAAUCUUAACCAUAAACUAUACCGACUAGGUGUUGGAUGAAUAUAAAAAAUAUAUAAAUAUGUAGCAUUUCUUAGGGAAUGUUGAUUUUAUAUUAGAAUUGCUUCCUUCAGUACCUUAUGAGAAAUCAAAGUCUUUGGGUUCUGGGGCGAGUAUUCGCGCAAGCGAGAAAGUUAAAAGAAUUGACGGAAGGGCACCACCAGGCGUGGAGCUUGCGGCUUAAUUUGACUCAACACGGGAAAACUCACUAGUUUAAGACAAGAGUAGGAUUGACAGAUUAAUAGCUCUUUCUUGAUUUCUUGGAUGGUGAUGCAUGGCCGUUUUUAGUUCGUGAAUAUGAUUUGUCUGGUUAAUUCCGAUAACGAACGAGAUCUUAACCUGCUAAUUAGCGGUAAGUACACUAUAUUUUUAUUUGAAAUUGAAUAUAGGUAAUUAUACAUGUUUAUUCAGUGUUCAAAUUAGGAUAUUUUUUUUAUUAAAAUAUUCUUUUCCCUGUUCUACUAUAAUAAUUUGUUUUUUUUUACUCUAUUUCUCUCUUCUUUUAAGAAUGUACUUGUUUGAUUAAAUAAAGCUUCUUAGAGGAACAGUGUGUAUCUAACACAAGGAAGUUUAAGGCAACAACAGGUCUGUGAUGUCCUUAGAUAAACUAGGCUGCACGCGUGCUACAAUGAUAUAUAUAACAAGUUGUUAAAAAUGUACUUAUAAAUAAGUGUGUACAAUUUUUCCUGUACUGAAAAGUAUAGGUAAUCUUUAUCAGUAUAUAUCGUAAUUGGGAUAGAUUAUUGCAAUUAUUAAUCUUGAACGAGGAAUGCCUAGUAAGCAUGAUUCAUUAGAUUGUGCUGACUACGUCCCUGCCCUUUGUACACACCGCCCGUCGCUCCUACCGAUUGAAAGAUAUGAUAAAUUGUUUGGAUAUGAAUUAAAAUAAUGAAAUUUUAUAUUUCUGAUUUUUUCUAGAAGAACUGUAAAUCCUAUCUUUUAAAGGAAGGAGAAGUCGUAACAAGGUUUCCGUAGGUGAACCUGCGGAAGGAUCAUUA
rnacentral:rRNA from 1 species